GACAGAGGCCCCAAGCGUUAGGCGGAAUUACUGGGCGUAAAGCGUGUGUAGGCGGUGAGGUAAGUCGGAUGUGAAAGCCCAGGGCUCAACCCUGGAAGUGCACUCGAUACUGCUUCGCUUGAGUACUGGAGAGGUCGGUGGAAUUCUCGGUGUAGAGGUGAAAUUCGUAGAUAUCGAGAGGAACAUCUGUGGCGAAGGCGGCCGACUGGACAGAUACUGACGCUGAGACACGAAAGUGUGGGGAGCAAACAGG
rnacentral:rRNA from 1 species